GCCAGGGGAGUGUAGUGGUUUGAACAUUGGACUAUGACUCUGGAGACCAUGGGUUGAAUCCCAGCUCAGCCA